UGGUUCUAAAAUAUUAAUGUAUUGUUUCAGACUGCAUUCUUCUACCUGCUUGGUGAAUUACCGGUAUAUUUCAUUCUGAAAGGUCAUGGGGCAAGCUGGAGUUGACUGCCGGAGAGUGGCUCCAUGGAAUAUUCCAGGAACAGUGGCUGUGAGGUGGGAAUACACCUUGGAUGGAAUGCCAGUCCAUCACAGGACACCAUGCACACACACACACACACACACUCAUAUCUAGGGACAAUUUCAGCAUAGCCAAUUCAAUUUUUUCCCCAGAUCUUAGGGCAAUAGCUAACGUUUUUUUUUUUUCUUUUUCCAAAUGUACAUGAUGACUCUGGAUGAUCCAUUUACAUGGAAAUACAAGUCUUAGACAAGGAACCCCUGCUCGCAUGCAUACGCACAUUAAUGCUUCAAGUUCAAACACUUCUUGUCAGGCAGCAGAGAAUUAAUAAAGAUUGCCUAAAGCCACAUUAGUCUUCACUCCACCCCUCUGCCCUAAACCUCCUCUUCUUCUCCUCACAGAAAAGGAUUUUUCUUUUAAUUAAAGGCGGCAGACAGGAAGCAGGGACAGCUUCCCACACUAUGCCUAAAGAAUAGUGCUGCCUCCGUCUUUUCUGUCUUGUCUUCUGAGUGAGAGAGUAAAAGAGGCACAAUCUUAAUCUAGUGAAUGAAUGAGAAAAGAACAUCAAUAAAAAAGAAACAUCAAUAAACACAGUUCAGUUCGCUGAGUGAACUAAGAUGGUUGAGGUGUGUGUGUGUGCCAAGAGAUCAUUUUCAUUAAGAUAUGGGAAGCUGGGGAAUUGCUGACAGGAGUGCUCAUGCCUUCCUGAAGUGAAUAUACUUUUUGUUUGAUAAAAAUUUCCCCCUCACGCCACUAAUGGACCAUUAAAUUCAUCAGCAAGGCCUUCCCACACUCCUGCCUCUUCAAGCACUUCUCUUCUAUUUCUGUCUCCUGCAGAUUUGUCAUUCCUCUCUCUCUCUCUCUCUCUCUCUUCCAUUGCAUGAACUUGAUCUGGUGUGGAGUCAAAUCUGUCUCUUUUGAGACCACCCUCUUAUUUAACUCUCUUUCCUGUGCUUGCCUACUUACUAAGCCCUAGAGAAACUAUAAAAAUACAAAUUUUUUUUAAGUAGUAUGAACCAUUUAGUUUAAUGUGAGCACUAGAAAUGCUCUCAAUUUGCUAUUCGAAAAUUCUCAAAUUAAUAACUACUCCAACGUCCAUCCAUCCAUCCAUCCAUCC